rnacentral:misc_RNA from 1 species
GAUGAAGAACGUAGCGAAAUGCGAUAAGUAAUGUGAAUUGCAGAAUUCAGUGAAUCAUCGAAUCUUUGAACACACAUUGCGCCCGCCAGUAUUCUGGCGGGCAUGCCUGUUCGAGCGUCAUUACAACCCUCAGGCCCCCGGGCCUGGCGUUGGGGAUCGGCGGAGCCCCCCGUGGGCACACGCCGUCCCCCAAAUACAGUGGCGGUCCCGCCGCAGCUUCCAUCGCGUAGUAGCUAACACCUCGCGACUGGAGAGCGGCGCGGCCACGCCGUAAAACACCCAACUCUUCUGAAGUUGACCUCGAAUCAGGUAGGAAUACCCGCUGAACUUAAGCAUAUCAAUAAGCGGAGGA